GACGAACGCUAGCGGCGUGCCUAAGGUAUGCAAGUCGAACGGGAGGGGCAACCCUCCAGUGGCGAACGGUCGCGUAACACGUAGACAACCUGCCUCCCAGUGGGGGAUAACAGCGGGAAACUGCUGCUAAUACCGCAUACGGUCCGGCCCGGCAUCGGGACGGUACGAAAGGGGCAACUCGCUGGGAGAUGGGUCUGCGGCCUAUCAGGUAGUUGGUGGGGUAACGGCCUACCAAGCCGACGACGGGUAGCGGGCUGAGAGGAUGAUCCGCCGGACGGGGACUGAGACACGGCCCCGACUCCUUCGGGAGGCAGCAAUGAGGAAUAUUGCGCAAUGGGCGAAAGCCUGACGCAGCGACGCCGCGUGGGUGAGGAAGUCCU
rnacentral:rRNA from 1 species